AAAAACAGAGCAGCUCUACAUCUCACUCCUUUAUAACUGCACUCCUGCUCCAUUCAAUCAAACACUUCCAGCUGUGGAAAGACUGAGCAUAGGAUCAUCCUGAACUCCUGCACGAAACGACCAGUUUUCACUGGAAGGAGCACUACAGCUCAGAAGAACACAAAAUCAGUUAUGCUUUUUCUACUGAUGAUCAUUUACCUUCAUGGACGUUCUAGUGCAAGUAAUUCAUCUGCACCA